CAACGCUAUCUCCUCAAACACCCACAUGCUGUACCUCUCACUCCCUUUAUGUCUUUGCUCAGAUGUCACCCCUUUGUGAAUGCUCUCUCUAAAUCUUUCUAUUUUCCUUUUUGAGAAUCAGGCUCUAGCACUUCGCAUGUAUGAAGAAUGAAAGCUGAAGCACUGCCACCUGGUGUCCUGCUAAACUAGUUUGUGAGGCUCCCGCUGGCCUCCCUGCCGCCCUCCAGUGCUCCUGGAGUAGAUGGUGGGGAAGCCCGGUCACAGGAGGAGGCAGCAUCACUGACCAAAAAGUCAGUCAUUUUCCCACCGUAUGAACAGUGAGAACAAGGACUCAGGAGAACUGUCUGGCUGCUUUAUUGUUUUGCCUUCAAAAUGUGAAAGUGAUUGACUUCAGGACAAUGAAGACAAUACUUGGGGUUAUCUCAGCUGGAGAUUACUAGGCUGCCUUGGAAAGAAAGCUUGCCAUUUUCGCACAAGUUGGGAGGCUUUUCUCUGAUAGACUCCUGUGCCUUUCAGACACUGUCUCCCAACCCCCCAAGACUGUGUACACUGCCUGCCGCUGGCUGAGCGCCUAUGACAGGGAAGGUGUUGCGUCAGAUGAUGUGCAGGAAUGCCAGGGCUGUUGGAAGUGUGCCUUUCCUGUUCUGGACACAGCCCUGGUAAUAUGCAGGUGAUUUUUCCAGUGGAUCAGUAUUUCCAUCAGAAACAAGCUUCCCAGCAGGUCUAGCCUGCAGAACGUUCCUCUGCUGAGGAGCUUGGGCAGGAUAAAUGGAGAGGAAUCCUUGGCCAGUCUCAUUGCUGAUCCUGUGGCUUCAUCUUCGUGGAGGGAGCCGCCUCUUGAGCACGAAACAGGGUCCUCCACGGGUGCACGUUCAGGAAGGAGAGAGCACCAAUGCCACCUGCAGUUUCCCUUCCAGCUUGUUUUAAGCUUUUCACUGUUACAGAUGGGAACCUGCAAGAAGUCCCAAGAACCUGUUUGUAAUGUCUUUAAAUGGGGAUGAAAAGGAGGAAGGACAAGUCAGAGUCACUCUGAGUACUAAGGACGGUCACAGCUCCCUGCACAUCAAAGGAC